rnacentral:rRNA from 1 species
UACGAAGGGGGCUAGCGUUGCUCGGAAUGACUGGGCGUAAAGGGCGCGUAGGCGGCUGGCUUAGUCAGAUGUGAAAUUCCCGGGCUUAACCUGGGGACUGCAUUUGAUACGGGUCGUCUUGAGUUCGGAAGAGGGUCGUGGAAUUCCCAGUGUAGAGGUGAAAUUCGUAGAUAUUGGGAAGAACACCGGUGGCGAAGGCGGCGACCUGGUCCGAUACUGACGCUGAGGCGCGAAAGCGUGGGGAGCAAACAGG